CUAUCUACAGGCUUAACACAUGCAAGUCGAGGGGCAGCAUGGUCUUAGCUUGCUAAGGCCGAUGGCGACCGGCGCACGGGUGAGUAACACGUAUCCAACCUGCCGUCUACUCUUGGACAGCCUUCUGAAAGGAAGAUUAAUACAAGAUGGCAUCAUGAGUCCGCAUGUUCACAUGAUUAAAGGUAUUCCGGUAGACGAUGGGGAUGCGUUCCAUUAGAUAGUAGGCGGGGUAACGGCCCACCUAGUCUUCGAUGGAUAGGGGUUCUGAGAGGAAGGUCCCCCACAUUGGAACUGAGACACGGUCCAAACUCCUACGGGAGGCAGCAGUGAGGAAUAUUGGUCAAUGGGCGAGAGCCUGAACCAGCCAAGUAGCGUGAAGGAUGACUGCCCUAUGGGUUGUAAACUUCUUUUAUAAAGGAAUAAAGUCGGGUAUGGAUACCCGUUUGCAUGUACUUUAUGAAUAAGGAUCGGCUAACUCCGUGCCAGCAGCCGCGGUAAUACGGAGGAUCCGAGCGUUAUCCGGAUUUAUUGGGUUUAAAGGGAGCGUAGAUGGAUAUUUAAGUCAGUUGUGAAAGUUUGCGGCUCAACCGUAAAAUUGCAGUUGAUACUGGAUAUCUUGAGUGCAGUUGAGGCAGGCGGAAUUCGUGGUGUAGCGGUGAAAUGCUUAGAUAUCACGAAGAACUCCGAUUGCGAAGGCAGCCUGCUAAGCUGCAACUGACAUUGAGGCUCGAAAGUGUGGGUAUCAAACAGGAUUAGAUACCCUGGUAGUCCACACGGUAAACGAUGAAUACUCGCUGUUUGCGAUAUACUGCAAGCGGCCAAGCGAAAGCGUUAAGUAUUCCACCUGGGGAGUACGCCGGCAACGGUGAAACUCAAAGGAAUUGACGGGGGCCCGCACAAGCGGAGGAACAUGUGGUUUAAUUCGAUGAUACGCGAGGAACCUUACCCGGGCUUAAAUUGCAGAUGAAUUACGGUGAAAGCCGUAAGCCGCAAGGCAUCUGUGAAGGUGCUGCAUGGUUGUCGUCAGCUCGUGCCGUGAGGUGUCGGCUUAAGUGCCAUAACGAGCGCAACCCUUGUUGUCAGUUACUAACAGGUUCCGCUGAGGACUCUGACAAGACUGCCAUCGUAAGAUGUGAGGAAGGUGGGGAUGACGUCAAAUCAGCACGGCCCUUACGUCCGGGGCUACACACGUGUUACAAUGGGGGGUACAGAGGGCCGCUACCACGCGAGUGGAUGCCAAUCCCAAAAACCUCUCUCAGUUCGGACUGGAGUCUGCAACCCGACUCCACGAAGCUGGAUUCGCUAGUAAUCGCGCAUCAGCCACGGCGCGGUGAAUACGUUCCCGGGCCUUGUACACACCGCCCGUCAAGCCAUGGGAGCCGGGGGUACCUGAAGUGCGUAACCGCGAGGAGCGCCCUAGGGUAAAACUGGUGACUGGGGCUA
rnacentral:rRNA from 1 species